rnacentral:rRNA from 1 species
UCCAGUGAUAAUGGCGGAGGGGUCACACCUGUUCCCAUACCGAACACAGAAGUAAAGUCCUCCAGCGCUGAUGGUACUUGGUGGGUAACUGCCUGGGAGAGUAGGUCGUCGCUGGAU